rnacentral:rRNA from 1 species
GAUGAACGCUGGCGGCGUGCUUAACACAUGCAAGUCGAACGGAAAGGCCCAAGCUUGCUUGGGUACUCGAGUGGCGAACGGGUGAGUAACACGUGGGUGAUCUGCCCUGCACUUCGGGAUAAGCCUGGGAAACUGGGUCUAAUACCGGAUAGGACGAUGGUUUGGAUGCCAUUGUGGAAAGUUUUUUCGGUGUGGGAUGAGCUCGCGGCCUAUCAGCUUGUUGGUGGGGUAAUGGCCUACCAAGGCGUCGACGGGUAGCCGGCCGGAGAGGGGGUACGGCCACAUGGGGACGGAGAUACGGCCCAGACUCCUACGGGGGGCAGCAGUGGGGAAUAUUGAACAAUGGGCGCAAGCCUGAUGCAGCGACGCCGCGUGGGGGAUGACGGCUUUCGGGUUGUAAACUCCUUUCGCUAGGGACGAAGCGUUUUUGUGACGGUACCUGGAGAAGAAGCACCGGCUAACUACGUG